GACGAACGCUGGCGGCGUGCUUAACACAUGCAAGUCGAACGGAAAGGCCCUGCUUUUGUGGGGUGCUCGAGUGGCGAACGGGUGAGUAACACGUGAGUAACCUGCCCUUGACUUUGGGAUAACUUCAGGAAACUGGGGCUAAUACCGGAUAGGAGCUCCUGCUGCAUGGUGGGGGUUGGAAAGUUUCGGCGGUUGGGGAUGGACUCGCGGCUUAUCAGCUUGUUGGUGGGGUAGUGCUUACCAAGGCUUUGACGGGUAGCCGGCCUGAGAGGGUGACCGGCCACAUUGGGACUGAGAUACGGCCCAGACUCUUACGGGAGGCAGCAGUGGGGAAUAUUGCACAAUGGGCGGAAGCCUGAUGCAGCAACGCCGCGUGCGGGAUGACGGCCUUCGGGUUGUAAACCGCUUUCGCCUGUGACGAAGCGUGAGUGACGGUAAUGGGUAAAGAAGCACCGGCUAACUACGUG
rnacentral:rRNA from 1 species